AUAAAGACAAAGAAAGGAAGUAGUAAGUUGUAUGUCAAUUGUAGAGAGCUAUCGUUUGGUGAAAGAUAGUAUUGAUGAAAACUGAACUCGUCCUUGAGUUACUAAGAUGAAUAAAGUAAUCUUAGUCGGUUAAAUGCCGUUAUAUUUUGAGUGGAUAGCAAUAUCAACAAGAGUGGUACCGCGGAAUUUUACCUUUCGUCUCUAUU
rnacentral:ncRNA from 1 species